rnacentral:rRNA from 1 species
CCCUUAGAUGUUCUGGGCCGCACGCGUGCUACACUGAGUAAAUCAAUGGGUAAGGGAACACGAAAGUGCAACCUAAUCUUGAAAUUUGCUCGUGAUGGGGAUCGACGGUUGCAAUUUUCCGUCGUGAACGAGGAAUACCUUGUAGGCGCGUGUCAUCAUCACGCGCCGAAUACGUCCCUGCCCUUUGUACACACCGCCCGUCGCUCCUACCGAUUGAGUAAUCCGGUGAAUAAUUCGGACCGAUUGCGAUGUCAGUUCCUGGCGCCGCAGACGGAAAGUCUAGUGAACCUUAUUACUUAGAGGAAGGAGAAGUCGUAACA